rnacentral:rRNA from 1 species
GAUGAACGCUGGCGGCGUGCCUAAUACAUGCAAGUCGAGCGAAUGGAUUAAGAGCUUGCUCUUAUGAAGUUAGCGGCGGACGGGUGAGUAACACGUGGGUAACCUGCCCAUAAGACUGGGAUAACUCCGGGAAACCGGGGCUAAUACCGGAUAAUAUUUUGAACUGCAUGGUUCAAAAUUGAAAGGCGGCUUCGGCUGUCACUUAUGGAUGGACCCGCGUCGCAUUAGCUAGUUGGUGAGGUAAAGGCUCACCAAGGCAACGAUGCGUAGCCGACCUGAGAGGGUGAUCGGCCACACUGGGACAGAGACACGGCCCAGACUCCUACGGGAGGCAGCAGUAGGGAAUCUUCCGCAAUGGACGAAAGUCUGACGGAGCAACGCCGCGUGAGUGAUGAAGGCUUUCGGGUCGUAAAACUCUGUUGUUAGGGAAGAACAAGUGCUAGUUGAAUAAGCUGGCACCUUGACGGUACCUAACCAGAAAGCCACGGCUAACUACGUGCCAGCAGCCGCAGUAA